rnacentral:rRNA from 1 species
UGAAUACGAGAUGCUACGGCGUCGAAGCAGUCUAUGUCAUACUUCCAAGAAAAGCUUGCACUGUCAUAAACAAAUAAUGCCUGUACCAUAACCGACACAGGUGGGUAGGUAGAGUAUACUAAGGGGCGCGAGAUAACUCUCUCUAAGGAACUCGGCAAAAUGACUCCGUAACUUCGGGAGAAGGAGUGCCUUAUUUAUAAGGUUGCAAUAACAAGAUCCAAGCAACUGUUUACCAAAAACACAGGUCUCCGCUAAGUCGUAAGACGAUGUAUGGGGGCUGACGCCUGCCCAGUGCCAGAAGGUUAAAGAAGUUGGUUAGCAUCCGCGAAGCUGAUAACUGAAGCCCUGGUGAACGGCGGCCGUAACAAUAACGGUCCUAAGGUAGCGAAAUUCCUUGUCGGGUAAGUUCCGACCCGCACGAAAGGCGUAAUGAUUUGGAUACUGUCUCGGAGAGGGGCUCGGUGAAAUAGACUUGUCUGUGAAGAUGCGGACUACCUGCACCAGGACAGAAAGACCCUAUGAAGCUUUACUGUAACCUGAAAUUGAAAUUGGACUUUACUUGCGCAGUAUAGGUGGGAGGCGUUGAGAAUAUUCUUGCGGGAUUAUUGGAGCCAUCAGUGAGGUACCACUCUUGUAAUGUUAGAUUUCUAACUUUGUAUCAUUAUCUGGUCAAAGAACAGUUUCAGGCGGGCAGUUUGACUGGGGCGGUCGCCUCCUAAACGGUAACGGAGGCGCACAAAGGUUUCCUCUGAACGGGUAGAAAUCGUAUCUAGAGUGUAAAGGCAUAAGGAAGCUUGACUGUGAGACCUACAAGUCGAGCAGGGACGAAAGUCGGUCUUAGUGAUCUGACGGUGCUGAGUGGAAAGGCCGUCACUCAACGGAUAAAAGUUACUCUAAGGAUAACAGGCUGAUCUCCCCCAAGAGUUCACAUCGACGGGGAGGUUUGGCACCUCGAUGUCGGCUCAUCGCAUCCUGGGGCGGUAGUACGUCCCAAGGGUUGGGCUGUUCGCCCAUGAAAGCGGUACGCGAGCUGGGUUCAGAACGUCGUGAGACAGUUCGGUCCAUAUCCGGUGUAGGCGUUAGAAUAUUGAGAGGAGCCUUCUUUAGUACGAGAGGACCGAGAAGGACAUACCUCUGGUGUACCAGUUAUCGUGCCAACGGUAAACGCUGGGUAGCUAUGUGUGGAGUGGAUAACCGCCGAAAGCAUCUAAGUGGGAAGCCCACCUCAAGAUGAGUAUUCUGGUGUAAGGUCACGGGAAGACGACCCGUAAAUAGGCACGAGGUGGAAGUGCAGAGAUGUAUGAAGCCGAAGUGUACUAAUAGACCGUCGGCUUGAC